rnacentral:rRNA from 1 species
ACUCCUACGGGAGGCAGCAGUGGGGAAUAUUGCACAAUGGGGAAACCCUGAUGCAGCCAUGCCGCGUGUGUGAAGAAGGCCUUCGGGUUGUAAAGCACUUUCAGCGAGGAGGAAAGGGUGUAAGUUAAUACCUUACAUCUGUGACGUUACUCGCAGAAGAAGCACCGGCUAACUCCGUGCCAGCAGCCGCGGUAAUACGGAGGGUGCGAGCGUUAAUCGGAAUUACUGGGCGUAAAGCGUGCGCAGGCGGUUUGUUAAGCGAGAUGUGAAAGCCCCGGGCUGCAACCU